UAAUCACUACAGUACAGUGGUACCUCGGGUUACAUACACUUCAGGUUACAGACACUUCAGGUUACAGACUCCGCUAACCCAGAAAUAUUACCUUGGGUUAAGAACUUUACUUCAGGAUGAGAACAGAAAUUGUGCUCCGGCAGCGCAGCAGCAGCGGGAGGCCCCAUUAGUUAAAGUGGUGCUUCAGGUUAAGAACAGUUUCAGGUUAAGAACGGACAUCCAGAACGAAUUAAGUUCUUAACCCAAGGUACCACUAUAUUAGGUUCUUUAGAGACACUGCCAGAAAGAAAAAAAGGAACCUCAGAUGUGGCCAUCCCUCUGCACUUCCUCCUAAAUGAAGUGCAAAGACUUCAUUUAGCUUCUAAUUUUCCUUUGUUCCCUCAAUAACACUUUUGCACUUUUGUCAGUUAGCCUUAUUGCCUCCCUAACUGAUUUCCUGCUUCUGAUGUAUUUCAUAUACAUUUACCCAACCACUUUGAAAAUGGCACACCUAACUAUUAUAUUUAUUCUUCCACUACAUUCCCAGUCCUUUGCAUUCAUAUGAUUUGCCAGUACUAUAUUACAAAUGUACAAAACAGUGUCUAUUUGCAAUAGGUUUUUUUCCUAGUAAAUAUUAUAUGUUUUAUGUACUUAUUUUAAGACAGGCACCAUCUGCUUGCAUCUUUCUUACCAUUCAGCCCUCCCGAGUAACGUGAGUAUAUUGAGAAGGCCUCGUUGGCCAUCGCUAGCCUUUCUCUCAGCUAAGCUUUCCUGUGAAGGCCUAACUUUUUAUUAGCAGCUUGGGUAGGGAAAAUGAGCUGGUUUGCUCUGGCUAAGUGAAUGUUCUGCAACCCCUGGUGCUUCUCAGCUAACCUUUCAGGGGUUAAAGAAAAAGAUAGAAGGAACAAGAGACAAAGGGAGGAAUAAAGUUUUAAAAAAAAAUGUGCCAUGAAGCUUCUUGCAGCAAAAUGCAGAGAAAGUCAUUUCCAACUUCUUUCAUCUCCGAGAUGAAGCCACUAAAUAAAAGGGCAGUGCAGAACACAAGGGCUUUUAAUCUGUCUCAUCUCCUUCAUAAUAACUGCAAAUUUUCCCUGGGCUCCUGGGAGUGAGCCUCUUUCCUCUGUCUUUGCCUUAUCUCCCCCCUCCAUAUUUCACAGCCGGCUCAGCUCCCCUCACUCGGCUGCCCCCGGCCUAGUCUCUGCGAGGCCUGUGGGAGCUGCCAGCUCCUAGGGCCUCAUUGUUCCCGGCUUGGGAGGAAGCUCAGAGAGGGAAUUGAAGGCAAGUCAAAGGGAAACGGCAUCAUUGCUGCUUCAUUAAUGGGAGCCUUUCAGCGGCAAACAUAUCAGAGAGAGGUCUUUUCAGAGGCAGUAAUUAGCAAUUUGGAGCUUUCCCCCCUCAGGAGAUGCAGCUGUGAUCUAACGAGCGGGAGCAGCACUCGCCUCCUUUUACACUUCAUAUUUAUUGUUUUUCAUUUUCUCCAUCUUCCUCCCAUUGUCCAGACUCCUCCUCGUUACCAGAUAAGGCCCUUUUAUUAAUCGCUCCCUUUUAAUUCUUCAUUAAUGAUAAUAACUUUCUCUGGCGCAUGGAGAGGAGUUAAUCUUUCCUGGGUAUUGAGAAGGACAGAGCUGAAAGCGAGAGAGAAGGAAGGACUGAAGACUGGACAAAGCAACAAUUGCACCUCUGGCUUCUUCCUCGCCGCCUUGAAGAAGUUUCCGAAGUCUUUGGAUACGGGAUUGUCAGAAACGCUUCAGCUAACUGCCUAGCUAAAUUAUGGAUUUGAUGGCCCAUGCCAGGUUCUCACCUAAAGGAGAAAGCAACACUUGAAGAGAAGGAGACACUUAUGGAGAACCCAUAAGACUGGCCCUCAGUUCAGCUGGCAAUUCUAGUUGACUCCCAGGAUUGAUAGAUACGGUGUCCUGCUGAACAAACAGUGAUAAGUAGUUGUUCUUCACAGUUCAUCCCUCAGUCACUAAAAAGCCUUCUAAGAGAACCACAGAUGAUGCAGGACUCUCUUCUGGAGUGCUUGUUCCCUGAAGCACAGUGCAUCUUAUUUUAGAAUGCUCUUGGGAUCAAGUUGGUCCUGGUUCCAAACUUGGGAAGAACCAAGAUUGCUCUUGUCAAAUUGCUUCAGAUUGCAUUCUUCCAUGUAUAUGCUUGCUAUGCCACCAUUCACUAGAGGAACCUCUCUUGUCAUUUAUGACACUGCUUCCAUUGGAAGCCCUGUGUGGAAGCUACUCUGAGCUUCUCAAAUACACCCUGCCACCUCCUUCCCCUGCCUUUUAGGAUCAGGAAGCAGUGAGGCAGUAAGGUUUAUCGCCCAUUUCAAGUGCUGCCCCUAUGAUGUUCCUUUAUCCAGUGGGCAGUAAGUCAAAAAGGAAAGGGGCAUGUUCAUUGGCCAUGAUCGCUGCCAAGCCCCGUGCAGGCAAUAGAGAGCUUGAUGGCAAAGAGGAGGCAGUAGCUGAGCAAGCAUUAGGAUGGAGCUGCCGUGGGAGGGGAAAGAGAGCGGUUUGACAAUCUCUUCCGAAUUAUAAACAUAUCCUCUUUAAAUACAUUUCUAAGGAUAACAUUUGUAUUACGGUGUCCUGUGGUUGCUGAUAGGGCCUUGCUUAUCGCCUUGGUCUCUCCUCUUUUCUCUGGGCUCUGCUGGGAAAGGUUCCUAUCUGGAUCUGAGCUGACAAUCCUCCACUAGGCAAUUGUUUCAGUCCCGGGGAAAAAUUAAUUUCUGCCUAUCGUUAAUUGAGAGAAUUGUGUGGAAAGCUGGGAGGGGGCUGGAGAGGGAGGGAGAUCGUGUUAUUAACAGUGUCCCUUUCAUAACCAAAUACCCUGAUUUCCAUCAGCGAGAUGAGAGACUCAUUACAGCAGGAAGGUGAUUAGAGAACUUGGAAGAGCUAGCAGGCUGAGCAGCAAAAGAGUGAGGAAUUUGGGAGGGGCUUCCAGCAACAGCCAUUCCAUCUCAUGCUAGAUACUCUCUUCCUCUGCCCCUAGUACCGGGUGACCCCUUUGCAGUUUCUGGCCGAGGAUUCAGCAACAGAACAUAGGAAGCAGCCUAAUAACAAGUCAAACAAUCUAGCUCAGUAUUGUCUACAUAGACAGGCAGAAGCUCUCCAGAUUUUCAGGCAAGAGUUUUUGCCAACCUUGCCUGGAGAUGCCUGGGAUUGAAGCGGAGACCUUCUGCGUUCAAAGCAUAAGUUUUACAUGAGAACUUGGGAAGAGUUUUUGUGGAUCAGACCAAAGGUCCAUCUAGUCUGGCAUCCUGUUCUCAGCGUGGUGAAGAACAUAGUGAUGAGCUUUCCUAGGGGAAACUCAGAAAUGGAACAUGAGUGUGAGAGCAGCCCCUGCCCAGGAGGUAGAACAUAGCCAUUGUGACUAGUAGCCACUGGUAGCAUUAUCCUCCAUGAAUUUGUCUAAUCAUCUUUUGAAGCCAUCUAAGCUGGUGACCACCACAUCACCUUGUGGGAGCAAAUUCCACAGUAUAACUAUAAGCUGUGUGAAGAAGUACUUUUUUUCCUUAAUCUUUUUUCAUUUAGCAUCAUUGGAUGGUCUCAGGUUCUAGUGUUAUGACAGAGAGAAGCUUCUCUCUAUUCACGUUCUAUAAACCAUACAUACUCUUAUAGAGCUCUAGCCUAUCCCCCUUACUCUCAUUUUUUCCAGAUUAAAAAGCUCCAAAUGUUGUAACCUUUCUUCAUGGGGCAUUUGUGCCAACUCAUUUAUUAUAUUUGUUGCCCUUUUCUGAACCUCUUCUGGGUCUACAAUAACUUUAUUUUCAAUCUCUUUCCUAAUAUCCCUCAGCACUGAAUUCACCUUUUUCACAGCUGCCAUACACUGGAUUAACAUCUUCACUAAGCUAUCCACUCGUUCCUAGUCAGUCACCAGUUCAGACCCCAUUAACUUACAAAAUUAGGAAUUCCCCCACCCCCAUGUGUAUCACUUGCUUGCACUGAAUUGCAUCUACCGUUUUACUGCCCAUUCACCCAGCACUGAGAGAUGUAUUUUGGAGCCCCUUGCAAUUCCUUUUUGUUUUAACCACCUGGAAAAAUUUGAUCAUCAGCAAACUUUACAAUCCCAAUGCUCACUCCUAACUCUAGAUCAUUUAUGGAGAAGUUUAAAAGCACAUGUCCCAUUUCUGCUCCUUGGGGACUCCAUUUUUUACAUCCCUCCACUGCGAGUACUAUUUAUUCCCAUUCUUUGCUUCCUGUUCCAUAACCAGAUACUGAUGAGGGACCCUAUCAAAAGCUUUUUGAAAGUCCAAGCACACAAUGUCUACUGGAUCACCCUUAUCUAUAUGCUUAUUUGCUUGUGAUCCAAUCUCUUCUAGGGGUUCCUAAGAAUGAAAAACCAUGUCUCCAUCCCCCUGCUCCCAGGGCUGCACAUUUUUAGCUUUGGCCUCACAGCUAGUGGCUAUAGUAGUCAGCUUUGGCAGGGUCAGUUAUGUCAUCAGAGGAAGAGCAAGGUGGGGCCUGAAUCCAGUUCUUUCGCAUUGAGAUGGUUAGGUGGUUGGGUCUGCCUGGGCUCCAUCUGUGAUUCAUGAUACUUAAAGCACUUGUGAACCUCUCUUUCAUUGUUGGUGUGCAUCUGUGAAAGACAGAAAUGAAUUAAGUGCACCUCUGUCAGCUUUAGAAAGUGACAAGUCCAGGUAGGAAGGUUGGUUAAUUUGAAAAAGAGUCACCGAGAUAUCACAAACAGGUCAUUUGCUAAAGGUUUUGUUUUACUUAUCUUUUUUUUCUGGGAAUGGAUUGGGGGAGAAUAUAAACUGGCAUUUUUAUGCAGAAAAACUUGCAUUCAUGAGCCGCACCAAUCCCGCAGUAAGCACCUUUCUUGAAGUACCUGUGUAUCUUAGUACUUCAGCUAAGCCGGGUUGUGAAUUUGGCUGCAUAUCAGUGCAACAAAAGACCCAACUCAUAGUUGGCAAAACCCAACUACAGCUAGUCUAGCAUGGUUAAAUUAUAAUUAUUUAAUAUAUAUUAAAAUACUUAAAUGCAGUAAAUCAGAUAUUAACAUAGCAUAACAGUUUGCCAGUCAUCUGUGUUUUAGUACUCACUGACCAGAUCUCUAAAAGGUGGGAUCACAUUUACUUCUUAUUGAAUACAUGAGUACAGUGUUGCUUCACAUUUUCCUUAUGUUUUCGUAAGUAAAAUACAUUACUAUUUUUUACUUCUUUUUUAUUUAUUGAUUUUUUAUUUAUAGUAAGUUUUUUGGUAUUAAUAUUUUAUUGAAAAGGUUUAUGUUAUAAAGAAAGAAAGUGAUGCAAAGAAAAAUGUGUAGAAAGAAACAAUAUACAAAUACAAUAUACGGAAAAAACCUAACCCAUACAUUCUUAAAUAAAUUUGAUAUUAUUUUCCUAAUACAUAUGUAAAUAUCAGUAGCCUACUACAUUUUGUAUAAACUCAUUCCUAAUAUUGUCAUAUUAAUCCAAACAAAGCCUACGUCUGUAAGCAGUCCGUUCAUAAAUUAUAUAUGUU